GUCCCAGGAGACAGAAUCACCUACUGAGUUAUUCCUUUCUAAUGGUCUUGAGUAAUGUCAACUGCCCACUUGAGACAAUAGGUGCCUGGAGAAGCCGGAACACCCACCUUUUUGUUCAGCCCCUGACUGGGUGACUGUGCAAUUUUGAGUCUGGAAUCUUUGUCAGAAGGAGAGGAGGGGCAGGCUAAGAGAGAACGUGCCCUUCUUCAGGAUGAGAAGAUUGAGGCCCAGCAUGGUCAUGUGACUUGGAUGUGCUCUCUCCAUGAGAGGUCCUGGAAAGGACAAAAGAUAAUCACCAGAGACAACCUUAGACGUUCAUCAGGCGGGAAAGGGCACCAGAAGAAUCCUCACGGCAAACUUGACUAACCAGCCCUGAUCUUCCAUUGGUUUCCCCAGUCUGGUUUGCAGGACCCCUGGUCAAUACAGCUAAGAUGGGCAGAAGGAAAAGAUGUUUCCCCCUUUCCUAUACCUGGCUUCUCACAGGGGAUUUCUUUCUUAUGGAAAACCAUUGCUCCGCAUUCUCCUAGAGACCCUACUGUCUUCCACUGUAACCGCUGCUUGCAAGUGAAUGGGAGCCAAUGAGCGGCCGUGAUUGCCCGGCCAAAGGUGCUCAGCGUGAGCAGGGAUAUGAAGAGGCAAGCAUCCUGCCCAUCGGGAGGCGGGAGCUCUCCCACCCAGACUUCCUGAGGAGUGAAGUACAGGCAGCUCACAUCUGCAGCCAACCAGCCUGGGUGGUAUUCCUUGAAGUGAAAUGCUCACAAAUCCCUUCCUGGGGGCCAGAGCCAGUUGGACAACCUGGAGGUUCCUGGUGGCCUGUCUGUUCUUCGGGGGCAAGCUUGGGGAGCUGAAGAAAUCAAAUCAAGGCCUCAGUCCCAUUGCAGAAUUGCUUCUUCACAACUCUGAAGCCCCCUAAUACCUAGAUGGUUGGUUCUGCUGCCCUCCAUUGAGAAUGACUGUCAUUUGUUCAUUUGCUGUUCACAGCCACCUGAGCAGAGGAGCCCCGUGGAGACUUGCUCGGAACCAGACCCUGCUGUCUAGCGGAUGACGGGUCCGUGCCAUAGCCAGCCUGAGUCUCUCAUCAUUACAUGUGGAUGGCUGCCUGCCAGGGCCCCAGGCCAACCGAACGUCAGUGAGACGUGAACGUUUAUUGUAUCGAGCUGAGGUUUCAGGGUUUACAUGUUACAGGAGCAAGUAUUACCACAGCUACAGAGAAACCGUGAAAAACAAGUCCAAGCAAGCCACCGGCCGACGGCAGCAGGCAGUCCACAAAGUACAAGUCUUACCGCACACAGAGGUAGCACAUGAUGAGUCACGCUGUGCUGAGCUUCCCGAUGCCCCCUUCUGCAGGGGACUUGGUGCCUAGCCUUCUGCUGUCAGCCACCUCAGAGACUUGAGGCUGCAGAGAGCCAUCCAGCCCCAUGCAGAGGGCGCUUCCAUGGUGUGGGUAGACCUGUGAAGGUGAUGGGAUAAUCUCUCUCUUGAGUAGG